UGAAAUGCAGCUUCACUGUCUGUUUCAUUUGAAGUUUGAAAUGCAGCUUCACUGUCUGUUUCAUUUGAAGUUUGAAAUGCAGCUUCACUGUCUGUUUCAUUUGAAGUUUGAAAUGCAGCUUCACUGUCUGUUUCAUUUGAAGCCUCUGCUAUUCAGAACACUCCACUCUACCUGGCUGGGAAUCUCCACGAGGCCGUGAAGGGGUCGAGGGCCGCGCCCCUCGUCCGAAUCCUGGUGUCCCGCAGCGAGACAGACCUGCUCAGCAUCCGGGUCGAGUACCGCAAGAAAUACGGAGUCUCUCUGUACACAGCGCUACAGGGAAAAGCGAAGGGGGACUACCUGAAGGCACUGCUGGCUCUGUGUGGGGCUGAAGACCUGUGAGAAAUGGAACCCCGAUCCUUAACCCCCUCAACCCCAGCCAGCGCAGACGUGCUUCACAGAGACCCUGCAGUUCUACUCUCCUUUCCAGAAACGGGAUAUUAAAGCUGUCUGAACCCAAGCCACAGUGUUGUAGUCUUUUAAACAGUUAACCCUGCCCUCAAACUGCCUGCUUAUUUUAUUGCAUUCCUAAUCAGAGUACAAGCAAUCCAAUUCUCCAGUGAAGAAUUAGGUGAAAAAGAGAAGCUGUCUUUUAUUACAACAGUUAUAUUCCAUUUCUUUAAUCCGUGCUCUGAAGAGCCCUGAACACUACAUACAAAGUCAAUAAUAAUAACAAGACUGCAAACUGAACUGGGGUUUAUAAUACAUUACAGUGACAGGGGCUACAUUGGGGGUUUCUGUGCUAGUCAUCAGGUUUUUAGAAGAUAAAGAUUUCUAUGCUGGUUUCGAUGAGGUUUUGUUUUUGCAGUGUAAAGGACUGGGCUGAGUUACUCAGCACUGCCAGGAACAUUUUCUAAAGGGAAGGUUCGACUUUACAGAUCACAAGAAAAGUGUGUUCCUCUAUAGGGUACAAAACAACAAAUUUCCAAAAAACGUUAAGAUUUAUAUAUAUAUAUAUAUCUCAAUUCCUGCAGGCUCUUGCAGUCCAAGAAAUGCAGAGUUUCGAUCAGAUUCUACCUCAGUGCGGUUCUCAGGAAGAAAGAAUGAUGAAAUACAUGAAGAAAAAGGCAGUAGCAGAGAAAAAAAAAUACAUGAAAUGAGAAAGAAGACAGAGAAAGAUGAAAUAAAUGAAAAGGGAAGGAGCAGAGAGACAAAAAAGAACACAUGAAACAAGACAGAGAGAGAGAAAGGGCAGUUUAUACAGACAGCACAUUUUUCACUCUGACAGACUGAAGUUGCACUUUGCAAUAAACCUGCCUGCCCAACUUCACACACUGAAGAGAGGCUGCAUGAAGCCAUCUGUUUAAUCAUCCCCACCUCAGCACGAUGCAAGUGGAGGGUUUGUAUUGUAUUUAUCAAGUGCUACACACACACGCACACACACACACAAUGUUAAACGUAUCGCGGCUGCCCUGGGCUGUGCUGCACACAAACCAGUGUUAUAAAAACGCAGCUAAACCCGCGAGAUCAAAACAAAAGCGUGAACUCGGAGCCCGAACCUCGAACCGGGCUGAGCUGCGUGUGCAUCGCUAGAAAAAAAAAAAAAAAAAAGCAGCAGCAUUUAAAAAAAACAAAACACACAACUCAACACUUUAUAUAUAAAAAAAAAAAUAAUAAUACACAAAAUCAUGAUUACACCCCCCAGCCCCAGCCCUCUACAGCGCUGUUUUUUCUUUUUGGGGGGGGGGUCGUUUUAAAGCUGUGCGGUUAACACAGCCGUCAUUCAAUAUUUAAUCCCAAAGAGGGUUAAUUUUUCUACAGCUCUGUUCCUUGAGGGACAGUAAGGGGGUUAUAUUGGUUUCAUUAAUUACAGCGGUAAUUAAAAACUGUAAUUAAAAACUACAUCCAGGGAUGAAAGUAACGGUUUAUACCAGAAAAGAAAUAAUCAUUUCAAUAUUAAUACUAGACUUCAUUGAGGGGAGCUCUGAACCCCAGGACUGGGUGCAGCAGCAGCAGCAGGGCU